GCCUGGUUAGCUCAUUUGGUUAGAGCAUGGUGCUAUUAAUACCAAGGUCACAGGUUCAAUCCCUGCUCACUGCA
rnacentral:tRNA from 1 species